rnacentral:rRNA from 1 species
UACGUAGGGUGCAAGCGUUGUCCGGAAUUAUUGGGCGUAAAGAGCUCGUAGGCGGUUUGUCGCGUCUGCUGUGAAAACUCGGGGCUUAACUCCGGGCCUGCAGUGGGUACGGGCAGACUAGAGGUAGGUAGGGGAGAAUGGAAUUCCCGGUGUAGCGGUGAAAUGCGCAGAUAUCGGGAGGAACACCGGUGGCGAAGGCGGUUCUCUGGGCCUUACCUGACGCUGAGGCGCGAAGGCUAGGGGAGCGAACGGG